rnacentral:rRNA from 1 species
UUGGAGGGCAAGUCUGGUGCCAGCAGCCGCGGUAAUUCCAGCUCCAAUAGCGUAUAUUAAAGUUGUUGCAGUUAAAAAGCUCGUAGUUGAACUUCAGACCUGACCGGGUGGUCCGCCUAACGGUGUGUACUGUCUGGCCGGGCCUUACCUCUUGGUGAGCCGGCAUGCCCUUAAUUGGGUGUGUCGGGGAACCAGGACCUUUACCUUGAGAAAAUUAGAGUGUUCAAAGCAGGCCUUUGCUCGAAUACAUUAGCAUGGAAUAAUAGAAUAGGA